CAGCAUUCUAAGACAUGCAGAGCUGAGGCUGGUGGCUUGUGCCAGGUUUCGGUCAAAAGCGCUUGCCUUUCAUUUUGCUUUGGACUGGACAGUGGGAAUGGAGGAGCUGCAUCACCAGCUCCGAUUUCAUCUGGUCGAGUGCUUGGCGUACCCGGGAACGUUUAUUGGCAGAAGAGUCUUUGUUUCUUAGAAGUUCAUCAGCUCGCCAUCUGUUUCUCCCAUGAUGUCACCGCUCUCACUUUUGCCUCAUCGUUACUGCCACGGCAAUCAAUCAGAACUGGAUGCCUCAAAUGUCUGACCUUCAGGAAGAAUUAAAAAGCGGAACUGAAAGGAGAUGAAGAACAAAUAAAAAAAGGAUAAUGGGAAUCAAACCAGAGAAAAAACAACGGUUCAGCCUCUGAUUGCCUCUAAAUGUGAUUCUUCUUCUGCAUUAUGGCAUCAUCUUUCAAGAAUAUUUUAAAGUUGGCUUCCAAAUAAAAACUGUUUGAAUUUAUAGACUUUAAGAGGUAGUUAAUAAUGUUCUCAUAGUGUUUUUAAAAAGUGAUUUU
ensembl:lncRNA